UACGGAGGGUGCAAGCGUUAUCCGGAUUCACUGGGUUUAAAGGGUGCGUAGGUGGGCAGGUAAGUCAGUGGUGAAAUCUCUGGGCUUAACUCAGAAACUGCCAUUGAUACUAUCUGUCUUGAAUACCGUGGAGGUCAGCGGAAUAUGUCAUGUAGCGGUGAAAUGCUUAGAUAUGACAUAGAACACCAAUUGCGAAGGCAGCUGGCUACACGAAUAUUGACACUGAUGCACGAAAGCGUGGGGAUCAAACAGG
rnacentral:rRNA from 1 species